ensembl:snoRNA
AUGCAUCUCUGACAGCCCUGGAGCAGUUCCUGUCUGCUGCUAAGGUUCUGCUACAGAUGCAAGAGAAAGAAGUCCUCGCGCUUUCUGUCUGUCUGGUUGUGGCAGCCAAGAUUGAAUGGGGGAAGACAGGA